UACGGAGGGGGGCUAGCGUUGUUCGGAAUUACUGGGCGUAAAGCGCGCGUAGGCGGACCUGCAAGUCGGGGGUGAAAGCCCGAGGCUCAACCUCGGAACUGCCUUCGAUACUGCGGGUCUCGAGUCCGGGAGAGGUGAGUGGAAUUCCUAGUGUAGAGGUGAAAUUCGUAGAUAUUAGGAAGAACACCAGUGGCGAAGGCGGCUCACUGGCCCGGUACUGACGCUGAGGUGCGAAAGCGUGGGGAGCAAACAGG
rnacentral:rRNA from 1 species